AGUGGCGCACGGGUGCGUAACGCGUGGGAACCUGCCUUUAGGUUCGGAAUAACUCAGAGAAAUUUGAGCUAAUACCGGAUAAUGUCUUCGGACCAAAGAUUUAUCGCCUUUACAUGGGCCCGCGUUAGAUUAGAUAGUUGGUGGGGUAACGGCCUACCAAGUCGACGAUCUAUAGCUGGUCUGAGAGGAUGAUCAGCCACACUGGGACUGAGACACGGCCCAGACUCCUACGGGAGGCAGCAGUGGGGAAUAUUGGACAAUGGGCGAAAGCCUGAUCCAGCAAUGCCGCGUGAGUGAUGAAGGCCUUAGGGUUGUAAAGCUCUUUUACUAGGGAUGAUAAUGACAGUACCUAGAGAAUAAGCUCCGGCUAACUCCGUGCCAGCAGCCGCGGUAAUACGGAGGGAGCUAGCGU
rnacentral:rRNA from 1 species